rnacentral:lncRNA from 1 species
GAAUGGCAGGCCCAUUUUAAAUGGACCAUAGUGCAAAGAGAGGGAGAAAGCUAAGCUGGGCUACGGGAAGCUGCGGUCAUUGGAAUUGUCCAGCCUCACUGGGCAGGACACUGGACCUCUUAGUGAUUUAAGCCAAUGUCCACUACUCUCCAGAUGUUUCUUGCAUUCUUUGGGACCCAAUUUGUCUAAGGCAGCUGAGGAACUGUGGGGCAUUGACCGAUUCACCUCCGGCCCUGUCCCAUUGGAUGUGGCAACUUCACACAGAGAGACAUCUUCCAAUUUGUCACUCCUGUACCUGAUCCCCGCCACCUUCUGCCCUGAGACGACGACAUAACUGUGAGUAAAAUGGGUUCUAAAUACCACUUCCAGGGAUAAAAUUGA